rnacentral:rRNA from 1 species
GACGAACGCUGGCGGCGUGCUUAACACAUGCAAGUCGAACGGUAAGGCUCCAGCUUGCUGGGGUACACGAGUGGCGAACGGGUGAGUAACACGUGGGUGACCUGCCCUGCACUUCGGGAUAAGCCUGGGAAACUGGGUCUAAUACCGGAUAGGACCGCACCGUGAGGGUGUGGUGGAAAGUUUUUUCGGUGUGGGAUGGGCCCGCGGCCUAUCAGCUUGUUGGUGGGGUAAUGGCCUACCAAGGCGGCGACGGGUAGCCGGCCUGAGAGGGUGGACGGCCACAUUGGGACUGAGACACGGCCCAGACUCCUACGGGAGGCAGCAGUGGGGAAUAUUGCACAAUGGGCGGAAGCCUGAUGCAGCGACGCCGCGUGGGGGAUGACGGCCUUCGGGUUGUAAACUCCUUUCACCAUCGACGAAGGGUUUCUGACGGUAGAUGGAGAAGAAGCACCGGCUAACUACGUGCCAGCAGCCGCGGUAAUACGUAGGGUGCGAGCGUUGUCCGGAAUUACUGGGCGUAAAGAGCUCGUAGGUGGUUUGUCGCGUCGUCUGUGAAAUUCCGGGGCUUAACUCCGGGCGUGCAGGCGAUACGGGCAUAACUUGAGUACUGUAGGGGAGACUGGAAUUCCUGGUGUAGCGGUGAAAUGCGCAGAUAUCAGGAGGAACACCGGUGGCGAAGGCGGGUCUCUGGGCAGUAACUGACGCUGAGGAGCGAAAGCAUGGGGAGCGAACAGGAUUAGAUACCCUGGUAGUCCAUGCCGUAAACGGUGGGCGCUAGGUGUGGGUUUCCUUCCACGGGAUCCGUGCCGUAGCUAACGCAUUAAGCGCCCCGCCUGGGGAGUACGGCCGCAAGGCUAAAACUCAAAGGAAUUGACGGGGGCCCGCACAAGCGGCGGAGCAUGUGGAUUAAUUCGAUGCAACGCGAAGAACCUUACCUGGGCUUGACAUAUACAGGAUCGCGCCAGAGAUGGUGUUUCCCUUGUGGCUUGUAUACAGGUGGUGCAUGGUUGUCGUCAGCUCGUGUCGUGAGAUGUUGGGUUAAGUCCCGCAACGAGCGCAACCCUUGUCUUAUGUUGCCAGCACGUUGUGGUGGGGACUCGUAAGAAACUGCCGGGGUUAACUCGGAGGAAGGUGGGGAUGACGUCAAAUCAUCAUGCCCCUUAUGUCCAGGGCUUCACACAUGCUACAAUGGUCGGUACAGUGGGUUGCCAGUCCGUGAGGGCGAGCUAAUCCCGCAAAGCCGGUCUCAGUUCGGAUCGGGGUCUGCAACUCGACCCCGUGAAGUCGGAGUCGCUAGUAAUCGCAGAUCAGCAACGCUGCGGUGAAUACGUACCCGGGCCU